rnacentral:rRNA from 1 species
CCUACGGGGUGCUGCAGUGGGGAAUAUUGGACAAUGGGCGAAAGCCUGAUCCAGCCAUGCCGCGUGUGUGAAGAAGGCCUUCGGGUUGUAAAGCACUUUCAGUGGGGAAGAAAGCCUUGGGGCUAAUACCCUCGAGGAAGGACAUCACCCACAGAAGAAGCACCGGCUAACUCCGUGCCAGCAGCCGCGGUAAUACGGAGGGUGCGAGCGUUAAUCGGAAUUACUGGGCGUAAAGCGCGCGUAGGCGGUCUGAUAAGCCGGUUGUGAAAGCCCCGGGCUCAACCUGGGAACGGCAUCCGGAACUGUCAGGCUAGAGGGCAGGAGAGGAAGGUAGAAUUCCCGGUGUAGCGGUGAAAUGCGUAGAGAUCGGGAGGAAUACCAGUGGCGAAGGCGGCCUUCUGGACUGACACUGACGCUGAGGUGCGAAAGCGUGGGUAGCAAACAGGAUUAGAUACCCUAGUAGUC